rnacentral:rRNA from 1 species
GAUGAACGCUAGCGGCAGGCCUAACGCAUGCAAGCCGAACGGCAAGUCCGAUAGCCAUAUUGGACUUAGAGUGGCUCAAGGGUCCGUCACACGUAUGCAACCUGACCGAGACAGGCGGAUCGCUCGCAUAAAGGGGAAUUAACCCUCCAUAUUACCAUGAGAAGGCCUCUGUUUUUGCUUAAACCGCAAGGGGUCGUGGAUGGGCUUGCGGUUGAUUAGCUAGUUGGCGGGGUAAAGGCCCACCAAGGCGGUGCUCAGUAGGGGGUCUGUGAGGGAGGUCCGCCACACUGGCACUGAGAUACGGGCCAGACUCCUACGGGAGGCAGCAGUAGGGAAUAUUGGACAAUGGUUGCAAGACUGAUCCAGCCAUGCCGCGUGCAGGAAGAAGGCCUUCUGGGUCGUAAACUGCUUUGUCCGGUGGAUAGAAUACCCGUUCGCAGGGAAUUGAAGGUAACAGGAGAAGAAGCCACGGCUAACUACGUG